rnacentral:lncRNA from 1 species
CUUUUUGUCUUUUGUGACAAACUUUCUCACUAAUACUAAUAAAAUUUAACUGUUAAUUAAUAANUAUUCUAUUUGUUUCUCACAUAACUUUUACAAUCUCUAAACUUCUAAUAAGUGAAAAAAAUAAGAAAUAAAAUAAAAAUAACUAAAGAAUUNUACUUUUUUUUGUCUCUCGUUUGUUUUUACUAAACCCUCCCAUAAUUUCAUUUUC